AUGCUAAAAUUUGUUUUUUAGUUAAAAUACGGGUUUAUCGUAAAAUUGCUAUGGUCGACCCUUGAAGUAUAAAACAGAUGGAAGUUCAACCGCAUUUAAAUUCUUCGGCUAUGCUUGUAACUUUUUAUAUCGUAAACAAAAAGAAAACGACAUCAAAACUAUACUUAAACGCUUAAUCUUUAUACGUUGACGUAAAUAAGUACAUUCAUAGGUACGUUUGUAAUAAUUUAAAAAUAUAGUAUUUCGACGGUUCGGCGAUUAUAUUCAUGCAUAAACAUUAAAAAUGGCGACAACGAAACGUCAAAUAAAAACUUUUUUUUAAACUUCAUUUUAAAUCAAUGGAGUAUUACAAUACUUCAUUGAUUUAAAAUGAAUGGAACUAUGAUAUACAGCUAAGGAAACUCUAAGCUUUAGUAAUUUAGAAAACAUUUUUUGGGGUUUUUUAAAAUUUUUAGUUGUCUUUUAUAAUCAAAUGUCAAGUUACGAUUCGAGGCAGAAAAGAAGCUUAACCUAACAUGUGCUUUUAAAAUAAAGUGAUUCUAUUUAGUUACCGAGUUUCAGAAAACAUUUUGUUGAAUAAUUACAAUAACUAAUGGAACGACUAAAUCCUCUGAGGAAAUUAAAAUUAAGAUGUCGAUUAAAAGGUGAAACUAAGUGCCCCAAGAAGUCCUUACGGUCUUAUGACAGAGCACCGUGGAUGAGCAUUUAAUAAGAAGUUCAAGCUUCCUUUCUAACCGAUGUCGCAAAACUUGCCCAGAAUUCUUAACUACCCAAUGCUGUGUGCUAGAAGGUUAACACAACUGCAUGCAACGUAUCAGAUAAUAUGAGACCAAUACUUUUUUAAAUGCUGCAAUUUAAAAUAUUUGCAUAAUCGUGGUCACUAUAACUUGGUUUUCUCUCCAAUAAAUCAUGUUUUGUAAUUAAUUCAAUUUCAGUCAGAUAUUUUAGUACUGGAGUGAGCAAAAGAAAAAAGAAUCUAAAGCUUUUAAAAUAUGAGUUUGAUCUCUGAUGCUGCAGUUUCCAUUUGAACAUUGAAUGCUACUUCGCAUCAAAAGUUGUUUAUAUGUGGCUGUGAGUUGUUGGCAUUUGAUAUUGUUAUUAAACGUUCUUGCAGAUCUCACAGCUAAAUAGGAUCUCACAGCACAAUAAAGAGCUUGUUAGAUGGUUUUGACUGAGCUUAUAUGUUAAAUGAUUUUAUGGUAAACUUUCUUUUUCUUCUCAGUUGAGAUAUAUAUUUUAAACAGAUUUAACUGCUACCAAAUGUCUAAUGAAAUCAGUUUUUAGAGUAUACAAGAUCAUUUGCUUACCAAUUAAUCUCUUUAAGACUAACGAUACAAUUAUAUGCCAUGUCAAGAGAUGGAAAACAAAGAGUCUUGUUGCAUGCACACAAUGCUGACUUGUAUCCAUUGGCAAAUAGGUUUCUUGAAUUUAAUAUGUCAUGAAAUCAAUCUUUUAUGCGAAUAAACUCAUCGGCAUACAUAUAAAAUUAUUUAACUGCAACAUACAGUUUAAUAAUAUAAAAAAGUCAGCUAACUAUAACAUAUAUUCAUAAUUCUUAACAGCAGGCAAACAUAUAUAACUUUAGUUAAAGAGAUAUUUUAA